UUAGAGGGACAGAAGAGAAAACAGAGAUUUUGGGAGCAGUUCACGCACGAUCUCAAGACGAGAGAACUACCCAGGGCCAUGAUGUCCAUACGGCAGUUGAUCAGAGAUUCGGCUUACAUUCGGCACUUUAGAUUUUUCUUUUAUUUCUUUUCGUGUUUAGAUAUGGCAACAUGACAAUCAAGAACGAAUUUAGAUAUGGCAGCAUUUGUGCUACCCCUCCCCAAAUCUGUUCUUGAGGUCAGACUUGAUAAUUGUCAUUGGGUAACUUACAAGAUUUUGUUUUCAAGUGAUUUUGGAGUUGUUUAACUAAUUGAUUUUCUCCUGUGGGUUUCUGUGAAUGUUGCAAGUAUCUGAGCAGUUUAUGGUUCCAGGUAACCCCUUUGUUCUUCUCCAUUCAACUAAUCUGGUUUUCGAAUUGCACGGUUUCUUCUCUUUUUAUGAAUCUAGUCGGGUUUUGUGAUUGGUGCUACUGAAAUUUUACUGAUUCAGUCAUUCAGACUUAAAGCUUUUGGCUCUGGGCUUUUAUGAUGCUCUAUUAUACUUCUAUCAGAAUGCAAGGGAAGGUAAUGAACUAAGAAAACUUAAAGAGUAUAAGCAUAAACAGAAAAUUAGGAAUGUAAGAGGUUUUGCAUUAGGGAAAAUCUGACUUUUGAUAUCAGUUGGUAGCUGCUAAAUCAUAAACAGACCUUCCUUGCUAUAUGGUUGGUUCAAACAGAGUGGUUUGGGUAGUUGGUGAGUAACUAACUAAUUGUUCUUACAAAAGUAUGAGUAAUGAUAAAGAGUCCAGAGUCAUGGUGAUUAUUAAUGACAACCAGAGUCCAGAUGCUUUUCUUGAUUGGUGAUUUCUUUGCAACAAUGGCAAAUUUGCAAAUCUAAAAUAGAGAUGGGAACUAGACAAAGAAUUGCAGCUUGAACUACUGCUUAUCAUCAUUGUGGUGGUGUCAAUAUGAUGAUUCUAUGUUGUGAUUCUCAGAUGUUGUACACAUACUCAAACCUUGAAUAUUCGGUUAAGUUAUAGUGAGAAUUAGCCUUUUACAGUUAUUAUUCCUUGAAUGUGUCAUUUCAACUACUCCAAUAUGCAGGCUUUUGACCUUCUUCUCUUCUUUAGGUCCGCUAUCCAAUGACAUCUUCAGCAAAAUG
rnacentral:lncRNA from 1 species